rnacentral:lncRNA from 1 species
AAAAAAAAAUUUGUUAAAAAAACAAUUUUGUAACAUGUUUUACUUUUAAACAUACCAAUUUUUUUUCAAAUAGAAAACAAAAUUUUAAAUAUAUACUCCAUAAACAUAUAAGAGUAAAAAAAUUUAAAAUCCAUAAACAUAUAGUGUAAAAACUUGUUCACAGUGUGCUAAAAUUGGUUUAAGACAUGCUAAAAAAUCUGGUUAUAAUGAUAGUGUGCUUAAAAUUGCACAUCAACUUAAACACAGUUUGAAUUAACUUAUUUUUGAGUUUAUGCAAAUAAUUUAUGUAGUUUUUAUGUAUUACUCCAUCCGUUUCAAAUUACUUGACAUUUUAGAUAAAAUAGCUUAUAAAAUACAAUUUUCACUAGUGUGAACUUAUAAAAUAGCUUAAAACCUAAUUUAUAUUGUAUAAGCUGUUUGAAUAAGCUUAAAGGGGCACGUCAGCAUGCCAAAUGUCAUGUCGUUAGCCACAUCAGCAUUUUUGAGAUGGGAGAGACGAAAACCAAAAGGAAUUGGAAAUGCAGAGACUGUUUAAAAAAAAAACAUACAGGGACUAAAACAAAAAAACCAGGAACAUUCAGGGAUUUUGGUCUUAAAAGGCUCAUCAUGUUUUUAAUAUUUUUAAUUUUUAAGUGAGAGUCUUGAUUUAUAUGGAGAAAUAUUUCAUAGGAGAUAAUUUACUUUUGUUGGACCAAAACUGCAACAAAUAUUUAAGUAGAGGAUAGAAAAAAUUGAUUUUAAAAGGGUUUUUUUUUUUUGCGAGCAGGCUGCCCUGCGAAUUGUGGAGGAGGUUCUGAAAUUAUAAGUUGAACUUAAAUCAAUCCUAUAAAACCGGUUUCUAAAGUGAUGGUUGCCUCUACUUUAUAUUUCAUGUAUUUAGAUUUUUAUAUUUCGUGUUUCUUAAAAUCCCUAAAAAUAUCGUUUGAUGUGUAUGUUGCAAAUUGAAUCGUCUGCUUAAAACGACAAUGGAUGAAAUGAACCACUCACUAAAUUAAGGGGGUGUAUUGGAUUGAGAUUUCAAUGGAUUUUAAAAUACUUUUUUAUAAUAAAAAGGCUAAAUUGCACUUUUGGCCCCCUAAGUUUCAGAAACUUGCAAUUUUGGCCCCUUAUGUUUCAAAAUAGCACUUAUAGCCCCCUAAGUUUCAAAAAGUUGCGAUUUUGGCCCCCUAUGUUUCAAANNNNNNNNNNNNNNNNNNNNNNNNNNNNNUUUCAGUAGUUGCGAUUUUGGCCACCUAAGUUUCAAAAUAGCACUUUUGGCCCCUAUCUUUACCCCUUUUGCAAAAGGUCAAUUUUGAUCGAGUCAAAGUUGAUGUGGCAAGUCACUUAAGUGACUCAGCUGCCACGUCAACAUUUUUUUGUCAU